CCAUCCAGCGGUGCGGCUUCGUAGCUUAGCAAAGUCGCACUAAAACAUUUGUCAGAUUUUUUAGCACCGUGCACAUAAAAUCAGUUCGAGGUCAGUGAGCACAACCAGAUUUCAUACAUGAGGCGCUCUGUCGAUUUUUGAGUCAAUUAAAGGAUUUUAAGUGCGCGUAAAAUACGUUAUACAGAAGAAAAGAAUAUAUCGCUAUAUAUAUCGUUACCGCACAUGUUUCAGAUUACACCGUGAUAUGGAUUUUAGGCCAUAUCACCCAGCCCUUGUCAGGUUAUGGCUGUGUGCAGGCAGGAGUGGAAGUAGAAGGACCCAAUGUGCAGACACUCAGAGGCGGAUAGUAACUCAAAACUCAGCUUUUAUUGCUGGAUGGCAAAAGGUGGCAAACGUAACAAAAAUCCAAAUAAACUUACAUGACCAGGUAGAUGGAACACACAGCAUAAAUGAGAGUAGAUCACGACACAGACACAGAGAAACACAGGGCUCAAAUACACAGAGGGAGCAAUCAGGGAAUGGGUAACAGGAGGGAAACACAGCUGGGGCAAAUCAGGCCUAACGAGACAAGGGGAAGCAAAACCAGACACAUUAACAUCAGACAUGGACUUUCAAAGUAAAACAGGAAACAUAACACAGACUCACAGGCAGGCACUAUAACAAAGGGAACAGAGACGUGGGACCAGGGCAGACACAGACACUGACUGGAUGUGGGGAUACAGCAGACAGGGGAGACAGCAACUAUGGAACACAGACAGAAAACCAGAACACUAAAACUCUAACCAACCCCACCCAGAGAACCUAAACUAAGAAUGAUCCUAAAACCCGUAAAGCAAAGCUAGAAUAUAAUGAAAUAACAAAAUCAAAGAACCAAAAACACAAAACACUGGGUCAACGACCCAGGGACCCUAACAGCCCUAGCCUGCAGCAGGUUGUGUGCCGUCGCGCCAUGAUCAGAGUGAUGCGAUAUCGGCGCUCUAACAUCAUCACAGAUCUGUGUCCAUCUACAGAGACGAGGAUGAAAACAGUCAGCCAUGUUUGGUUUUCUCCGCGGAGCCGUUCACGCCCCACGAUGACGUUUAUUAAUCACAUGGUUAUGUUACAGAGCGCCGCGUCACAGUCGCACACACGUGAGAGUUCUCAGAGUUCAGUUCUGCGCCGUCAAACCUGUCAGCACACGGCUCUUCAAACUUCCUGUAUCCAGAUUACUUCCUGUGACGUGCCGUAAGCUUCGCCAACGUGCUGCCGUUUGUCUUUAAACGUCUGCUGAGUGUCAGGAGGCCGCAGCUGCUCGCCGUGGCUCUGAAAGCUCCGCCUCCAGGCUCGCAGCUUCACCUGUCAGUCGCAGUGGCUGCUGUAGCUAGGCAACCAAGCACCUCCAGGCUGCAGCAGCUGCUGUCAACCUCCUGGAGGAGGCGCUGAGAGAGAAACGGAUCAGAUCAGAUUUCUGAGUUUGUGGCGUCG
ensembl:lncRNA